rnacentral:rRNA from 1 species
UACGUAGGGGGCGAGCGUUGUCCGGAGUUACUGGGCGUAAAGCGCACGCAGGCGGUCUGCUAAGUUUGGAGUGACAGUUGGUGGCUUAACUGCCAAAGUGCUUCGAAAACUGACAGACUUGAGGGCUUCAGAGGGACACGGAAUUCCGGGUGGAGUGGUGAAAUGCGUAGAUAUCAGGAGGAACACCUGUGGCGAAAGCGGCUCACUGGACCACAACUGACGCUGAGGCGCGAAAGCUAGGGGAGCAAACAGG